GAGAUUAUAAUUCAAAAGGUUAGAAUAGUACUUUGAUAAGGUACCAAUAUAGGUUCAAAUCCUAUUAAUCUUA
rfam:Ashbya gossypii (= Eremothecium gossypii) ATCC 10895 mitochondrion, complete genome.